GGUUGACCUCGGAUCAGGUAGGAGUUACCCGCUGAACUUAAGCAUAUCAAUAAGCGGAGGAAAAGAAACCAACAGGGAUUGCCUCAGUAACGGCGAGUGAAGCGGCAAGAGCUCAAAUUUGAAAUCUGGCCCCUUGGGGUCCGAGUUGUAAUUUGCAGAGGAUGCUUCGGGAGCGGUCCCCAUCUAAGUGCCCUGGAACGGGACGUCAUAGAGG
rnacentral:rRNA from 1 species